AGUAAACGUUGGCGGCGUGCCUAACACAUGCAAGUCGUACGAUCCUCAAGUGGCUUGCCAUUUAAGGAAAGUGGCGAACGGGUGAGUAACACGUGAGUAAUCCGCCCCUAAGUGAGGAAUAACUCCGCGAAAGCGGGGCUAAUACCGCAUGAAACUCUGAAGCAAACGCUUUCAGAGUCAAAGCCCCCUAGGGGGUGCUUGGGGAUGAGCUUGCGGCCUAUUAGCUAGUUGGUGGGGUAAUGGCCUACCAAGGUAAUGAUGGGUAGCCGGCCUGAGAGGGUGUACGGCCACACUGGAACUGCGACACGGUCCAGACUCCUACGGGAGGCAGCAGUGGGGAAUUUUGCGCAAUGGGCGAAAGCCUGACGCAGCGACGCCGCGUGGAGGAUUAAGGCCUUCGGGUUGUAAACUCCUGUCAGAGGUGAAGAAUACCCCCUUUGGGGGGUUGACGGUAACCU
rnacentral:rRNA from 1 species